AAUUAUCGAGCCCUAGAUUUCUCAGCGCUCGCUCAGAGUCACUUACCGCAGACAAUUUUCCCGAGAAACAAACACCAAGUAAGAUUGCAACAUCGAGACUUCCAACUACGAGAUAGCGGAAAACCUAUGAUGACGGAAUACGAAGGGAGGUACGAUGGUAACGGAGAGGACGCUGGCACAUACGCCGAUGGCGGUUCCUCUCCCCAACCUCGUGCUGCCGUCCACGGCGGUGCCGACGAUUACAGCGAUUCCAAAUCUCAGGUACACGUAGUAUUGCAGCAUGAGUCUCGUGAUUACGAGAGAGAAUCUUCAAAGAGCAGAGAAAAGGAUAGAGAUAAAGGGCGUGAUAAGGAGAGGGACAGGGACCGGGACAGAGAUAGAGACAGGGGGAGAAGCAAGGACAAGGAUAGGGAAAGGGAUAGGGAUAGAGAUAGGGUUAGGGAUAGGGACCGUGAUAGAGAAAGAGAAAGAGACCGGGACAGGGAUCGCGAUCGUCAUCACAGAGACCGCCACAGGGAUCGCGAGAGAAGUGAGCGACGGAGAGACAAGGACGACGACGACAAUGGUCACUACCGUACCCGGGACUCUGAUAGACGGAGGGAUUAUGACAGAGACAGAGAGGAUAGGCAUAGGCGCAAGUCCCGGUCUCGUUCAAGAGCUAGAUCUGAGCACAAAUCCAGAUCGAGGUCACGCUCUCGUUCACGCUCAAAAAGCAAAAGGAUUAGCGGUUUUGACAUGGCACCUCCUGCUUCUGCAAUGUUAGCUGGUGCUGCUGUUGCUGCAGCAGGGCAAAUUCCUGGGACUAGUCCUACCAUUCCGGGAAUGUUCCCAAACAUGUUCCCUCUGUCGACCGGUCAGCAGUUUGCACCCCUUCCAGUUAUGCCUGUUCAGGCAAUGACUCAACAGGCUACUAGGCAUGCCCGACGAGUGUACGUUGGAGGGCUUCCUCCCACAGCAAAUGAACAGUCUGUUGCUACAUUUUUCAGCCAAGUUAUGGCUGCAAUUGGAGGGAACACUGCUGGCCCAGGAGAUGCUGUUGUCAAUGUCUACAUAAACCAUGAAAAGAAAUUUGCUUUUGUGGAGAUGAGAUCGGUUGAAGAGGCUAGCAAUGCAAUGGCUCUGGAUGGAAUUAUUUUUGAGGGAGCCCCUGUUAAGGUGCGGAGACCUAGUGAUUACAACCCAUCUCUGGCUGCAACACUCGGUCCAAGCCAGCCCAAUCCCAACCUGAACCUGGCCGCUGUGGGGCUUACACCGGGUUCUGCUGGUGGGCUUGAGGGCCCUGAUCGCAUAUUUGUUGGUGGGCUGCCAUAUUACUUCACAGAAGCACAGAUCAAGGAGUUACUCGAAUCCUUUGGACCCCUUCGUGGUUUUGAUUUAGUGAAAGACAGGGAAACAGGAAACUCAAAAGGCUAUGCCUUUUGUGUUUACCAAGACCUUUCUGUUACAGACAUAGCUUGUGCAGCGCUGAACGGUAUUAAAAUGGGUGACAAGACGCUCACAGUUAGGCGUGCUAACCAAGGUGCCAACCAGCCCAAACCUGAGCAAGAGAGCGUUCUGUUGCACGCACAGCAGCAAAUUGCAUUGCAGAGGUUCAUGCUGUUGCAACCGCCUAGUUCUGUUGCCACCAAGGUUGUAUGUUUAACUCAGGUAGUAACUGCAGAUGAGCUUAGGGACGAUACUGAGUAUGAUGAUAUCUUGGAAGACAUGAGGCUUGAAGGCGAAAAGUUUGCCUUUUUUGUAGUCCCACAUUCUGCUAUAAAGAAUCAGGCGUUAACAUUCAGACAGAAGCCUCCAUAACCUUCUAAAUUCAUCUAAGACUUGUGUUGUCGUCUAUUUUUAAUAGUUAUUUGAUUUUGACUGAUCUGCAGGUGCAUUAGUGAACGUCAUCAUCCCGCGUCCAAGACCAGAUGGUGAACUUGCCCCCGGUGUUGGGAAGGUGUUUUUGGAGUACGCAGAUACUGAUGGCUCCACAAAAGCCCGCACGGGGUUGAAUGGCCGGAAAUUUGGCGGCAAUCAGGUGGUAGCAGUGUUUUAUCCGGAGGACAAGUUCGGCCAGCGCGACUACGAGGGCUAGUUGUUCGUCUUAAGUGUACUACUAAGUGAUCUAUUGAGAUUCUCUCUUAAUUAGAACUUUUGAGUUUGCAUUUUUUCAUUAGAGUUGUAUCGUGUAUCCUGGUAUGUAUGACUAGGAAUAAUUUGACGCGUAUUUUUUUUUUUUCAGUUAGUGGAAGGACUGAAGUUAAGAACUUGAAUAUAAGUUGUGGUAUUUCCUUGUCUUUCUA